rnacentral:lncRNA from 13 species
AUGCAUGAGAUUGCCACUUCACAGAGAAUUUAUCAAACAUGGACAAACUUAUUUUUAAUCAUCAUGUUGAAAGGAAUUAUUUCAUUACAAAGAACAGAAAACUACAUAUGUGAUAUCAAGAAAAAAAUAAAGGUAGAAAUUACUUCAUCAGAUUUUUUUUGCUACUACCUCAAAGACCUAAAGCAGCACCUCAAAGAAACGAGAAAUUUCAUGAGUAAGGGAAGGAAAGGAACCGGGAGAUCAGAAAACACCAGGAUGAAAGGCUUAUGCUGAUCACUAAGCCAGAAUAAAUGAAGUGGGAGCUGUACA